rnacentral:rRNA from 1 species
CAGUAGCCGCGGUAAUACGGAGGGUGCAAGCGUUAAUCGGAAUUACUGGGCGUAAAGCGCACGCAGGCGGUUUGUUAAGUCAGAUGUGAAAUCCCCGGGCUCAACCUGGGAACUGCAUCUGAUACUGGCAAGCUUGAGUCUCGUAGAGGGGGGUAGAAUUCCAGGUGUAGCGGUGAAAUGCGUAGAGAUCUGGAGGAAUACCGGUGGCGAAGGCGGCCCCCUGGACGAAGACUGACGCUCAGGUGCGAAAGCGUGGGGAGCAAACAGGAUUAGAUACCCCUGUAGUCCCUGUCUCUUAUAC